rnacentral:tRNA from 2 species
GGGGGUGUAGCUCAGUGGUAGAGCGCGCGCUUAGCAUGCACGAGGCCCUGGGUUCAAUCCCCAGCACCUCCA